CUAGCUGUCAAAUUCAUGGUCACCGAUUUGACUCAAAUCCUCAUGUUUGAUUUAUAACAAUGUAAAACAUUUAUCCAAACUAUCAAAAGUCUAAAAUAAACAGUUUACAGAGCAUUGGGUAGAUAAUAUAUAGGUUCGUUUCGUGUGUAUUUUAGUCCAGACGCCAUUUAAUUAACUAUCGAUUUGACCUCAGAUGACCAUAUAAGCGAUGUAAACAUAAAUAAAGGUAUGAAUAGAUUAAACCAAC
rnacentral:lncRNA from 1 species